rnacentral:tmRNA from 1 species
GGGGACGUAAAGGUUUCGACGGGGAUUUUGAAGUGUGACAAGCGGGUAGAGUUCGGAGCAGCUCUCUAAAAACUCCAAAACUAAAUUAAACGCUAACAAUAGAGUAGCAGUCGCUGCCUGACGGCAGCUGUCCGUCCGCAGACCGCUACGACUGCGGAUCGUCCUACGGGAACGCACCAAUCUGUGCGUGGCAUAAUUUCAGUAGCGUCCGUGAACCGGGAGUUGCUUUUGUACCGGUCACGCAUUAAAAAGAUAUAUUCCCUGCCGACCUGACUGCCGGCUGCCGGGAAAGAAUCUCAGUAGACAGUCUGCACCCGGAGAAAGUUGCAUGGAUAGGUUUUCGGACGCGAGUUCGACUCUCGCCGUCUCCAUC